AUUGAACGCUGGCGGCAUGCUUUACACAUGCAAGUCGAACGGUAACAGGUCUUCGGAUGCUGACGAGUGGCGAACGGGUGAGUAAUACAUCGGAACGUGCCUAGUAGUGGGGGAUAACUACUCGAAAGAGUGGCUAAUACCGCAUGAGAUCUACGGAUGAAAGCAGGGGAUCGCAAGACCUUGCGCUACUAGAGCGGCCGAUGGCAGAUUAGGUAGUUGGUGGGAUAAAAGCUUACCAAGCCGACGAUCUGUAGCUGGUCUGAGAGGACGAUCAGCCACACUGGGACUGAGACACGGCCCAGACUCCUACGGGAGGCAGCAGUGGGGAAUUUUGGACAAUGGGCGCAAGCCUGAUCCAGCAAUGCCGCGUGCAGGAUGAAGGCCUUCGGGUUGUAAACUGCUUUUGUACGGAACGAAAAGCCCUGGGUUAAUACCCUGGGGUCAUGACGGUACCGUAAGAAUAAGCACCGGCUAACUACGUGCCAGCAGCCGCAGUAACAC
rnacentral:rRNA from 1 species